GGUUUCCGCCGGUGCUUAGUUCCGUGUUUUGAAAGAUACUUGUUUUGAUUCAGCUCCAAGCUUCAAGCAUGCUAAUGGACUGCUGUGCUGCUGAGCUGUACCCACAGACACGGAGACUUGAUUUUUGGAUAUCUGAAGUAGGGGCAAUGGAGCUAGAGAGAUAGCUCAGUGGAGAUCCAGGUUUGAGUCCCAGAACCCACAUCG